rnacentral:rRNA from 1 species
GACGAACGCUGGCGGCGUGCUUAACACAUGCAAGUCGAACGGAAAGGCCCUGCUUUUGUGGGGUGCUCGAGUGGCGAACGGGUGAGUAACACGUGAGUAACCUGCCCUUGACUUUGGGAUAACUUCAGGAAACUGGGGCUAAUACCGGAUAGGAGCUCCUGCUGCAUGGUGGGGGUUGGAAAGUUUCGGCGGUUGGGGAUGGACUCGCGGCUUAUCAGCUUGUUGGUGGGGUAGUGGCUUACCAAGGCUUUGACGGGUAGCCGGCCUGAGAGGGUGACCGGCCACAUUGGGACUGAGAUACGGCCCAGACUCCUACGGGAGGCAGCAGUGGGGAAUAUUGCACAAGGGGCGGAAGCCUGAUGCAGCAACGCCGCGUGCGGGAUGACGGCCUUCGGGUUGUAAACUGCUUUCGCCUGUGACGAAGCGUGAGUGACGGUAAUGGGUAAAGAAGCACCGGCUAACUACGU